rnacentral:rRNA from 1 species
AUUGAACGCUGGCGGCAUGCUUUACACAUGCAAGUCGAACGGUAACAGGUUAAGCUGACGCGUGGCGAACGGGUGAGUAAUGCAUCGGAACGUGCCCGGUCGUGGGGGAUAACGCAGCGAAAGCUGCGCUAAUACCGCAUACGAUCUGAGGAUGAAAGCGGGGGACCGUAAGGCCUCGCGCGAUCGGAGCGGCCGAUGUCAGAUUAGGUAGUUGGUGGGGUAAAGGCUCACCAAACCAACGAUCUGUAGCUGGUCUGAGAGGACGACCAGCCACCCGGGGACUGGGAAACGGCCCAGACUCCUACGGGAGGCAGCGGUGGGGAAUGUUGGACAAUGGGCGAAAGCCUGAUCCAGCAAUGCCGCGUGCAGGAAGAAGGCCUUCGGGUUGUAAACUGCUUUUGUACGGAGCGAAAAGGUCUCCUCUAAUACAGGGGGCUCAUGACGGUACCGUAAGAAAAAGCACCGGCUAACUACGUGCCAGCCGCCGCAGUAAAAC